CCCCAGAUGGCUCAGAUGGCAAAGAAUCUGCUUGCAAUGCAGGAGACCCAGGUUCAGUCCCUGGCUUGGGAA
rnacentral:tRNA from 1 species